rnacentral:tRNA from 1 species
GUUAUAAUAGCUUAAUGGUAAAGCCAAUCACUGUUAAUGAUUAUUAUCUGGGUUCGAAUCCUUGUUAUAACG